AGAAUCAACGCUGGCGGCGUGCCUAACACAUGCAAGUCGAACGAGAAAGUGGAGCAAUCCAUGAGUACAGUGGCGCACGGGUGAGUAACACGUGACUAACCUACCCUUGAGUUCGGAAUAACUUCGGGAAACCGAGGCUAAUACCGGAUAAUAUCUACGGAUCAAAGGAGCAAUUCGCUUAAGGAGGGGGUCGCGGCAGAUUAGUUAGUUGGCGGGGUAAUGGCCCACCAAGACGAUGAUCUGUAUCCGGCCUGAGAGGGCGCACGGACACACUGGAACUGAAACACGGUCCAGACUCCUACGGGAGGCAGCAGUGGGGAAUUUUGCGCAAUGGGGGAAACCCUGACGCAGCAACGCCGCGUGGAGGAUGAAAUCCCUUGGGAUGUAAACUCCUUUCGAUCGGGACGAUUAUGACGGUACCGGAAGAAGAAGCCCCGGCUAACUUCGCGCCAGCAGCCGC
rnacentral:rRNA from 1 species